AGUCCUGUGACGCAGUGGCUAGCGUGUCGUUCUUAUAUUUGUUCCUCGGAACAGGUAUGGCCUACUGGGUUAUGCGAAAGUCGAGGGUUCGACCCCCUCCAGGACUA